rnacentral:rRNA from 1 species
CCCUUAGAUGUCCUGGGCUGCACGCGCGCUACACUGACGAAUGCAACGAGCUUAUAACCUUGGCCGAAAGGUCUGGGUAAUCUCCAAAUUUCGUCGUGAUGGGGAUAGAUUAUUGCAAUUAUUAAUCUUCAACGAGGAAUGCCUAGUAAGCGCAAGUCAUCAGCUUGCGUUGAUUACGUCCCUGCCCUUUGUACACACCGCCCGUCGCUCCUACCGAUUGAAUGGUCCGGUGAAGCGUUCGGACCGUGGCCUUUGGACGGUUCGCCGUCUGUUGGCUGCGGGAAGUUCGUUAAACCUUAUCAUUUAGAGGAAGGAGAAGUCGUAACA